GAUGAAGAACGCAGCGAAAUGCGAUAAGUAAUGCGAAUUGCAGAAUUCAGUGAGUCAUCGAAUCUUUGAACGCACAUUGCGCCCUGUGGUAUUCCGCAGGGCAUGCCUGUUCGAGCGUCAUUUCAACCCUCAAGCCUCGCUUGGUGUUGGGCCCUGCCCGCCGCGGCCGGCCCUAAAGAUAGUGGCGGCGCCGCCUGGCCCUCAGCGUAGUACAGCUCUCGCUCCAGGGUCCGGCGGCAGCCUGCCAGAACCCCCCAACUCUGUGGUUGACCUCGGAUCAGGUAGGGAUACCUGCUGAACUUAAGCAUAUCAAUAAGCGGAGGA
rnacentral:misc_RNA from 1 species